AGUAGGGCCUGCCCACUGAUAAUUGAAGGGCCGCAGUAUUCUAACUGUGCAAAGGUAGCAUAAUCAUUAGUUUUUUAAUUGAAAGCUGGUAUGAAUGGUUUGAUGAGAAAUUAGCUGUUUCAGUAUUAAUUUUUUAAAAUUUUAUUUUUAAGUUAAAAAGCUUAAAUAUAUAUAAAAGACGAGAAGACCCUAUAGAGUUUAAUUAAUAUUAAUUUAGUAAAUAUAAAGAAUUUUAAUAUUUAUUUAGUUAAAUUAAUUUAAUUGGGGUGAUUGAAAAAUUAGGUUAACUUUUUUUAUUAGAUUUCAUUGAUUUAUGAUUUAUUGAUCCAUAAAAAUGAUUAAAAGAUU
rnacentral:rRNA from 1 species